rnacentral:rRNA from 1 species
UACGAAGGGGGCUAGCGUUGCUCGGAAUUACUGGGCGUAAAGCGCACGUAGGCGGCUUUCUAAGUCGGGGGUGAAAUCCUGGAGCUCAACUCCAGAACUGCCUUCGAUACUGGAGAGCUCGAGUCCCGGAGAGGUGAGUGGAACUGCGAGUGUAGAGGUGAAAUUCGUAGAUAUUCGCAAGAACACCAGUGGCGAAGGCGGCUCACUGGCCCGGUACUGACGCUGAGGUGCGAAAGCGUGGGGAGCAAACAGG